GUUCAGGUGGCCAAGACGUAAGGCGUGACGCUUACACGUAUUUUAUUGAGACCCGUCAAGAUCGUGGGUUCAAUCCCCACCCUGAACA
rnacentral:tRNA from 1 species